AGUAGGGCGUGAAACUCGAGGUCCAAGAGUUAAUGAGAAACCUGGGAUUGAUGUUACGAAGUGAUUUAUAUGCACGUAAUUGAGGCUCUGAGACUAUUCUAUGAUCUAUGUUAUGCAUGGAUUCAAAAGAAAGUUGGACACUGCUCUUUGUGGGGUUUAAGUAAGAUUUUCUGGGUUUUUUCCAGCAGAUUUUAUGUUUGGUUUAAUGGAUGCUAUCCUUUCCAACUUGGGUGAAAGCGUCAUAUCCACUUCAAUUUGUGAAGAGGAAGACUUUGUACAUGUAUAGCUGAUACACAUCAUGGCGGAAGGUUUCUGGAUCUUGUUCUGUGAUUGUUCAACUGAGUCCAGAAGUGAUUGCGGUUCCAACAUUGCAGCUAUUAUCGAUCCAGAUUCAUGUAUCAACAAUAUUGUGGUCGUUGCGGUUGAUAUCUUGCUUCUAUUCGUCUUGUUUUGUAUCUUCAUUUAUAGAACAUUAUCAAAGAAGGUUAUAGCAUCAUCACAGUCGUACACCUUGUCUACUGUGUCAAUUGUUUCGGCCACUUUCAAUGCCUGUUUGGGUUUGGCCUACUUGGGUUCUGCGAUAUGGAAAACGGUUGAGAAAGUAAAUACAGAUCAGAGUUUUUUACCUCUACAUGGAUGGAUUGUGUUUUUCUUUCAGGGGUUUACUUGGUUGGUGCUGGGACUAACUAUAAACCUGAAGAAGCCACACACUCCCCACACUGCAAUAUCAAAAUUUCUUUCAAUUUUUGGCUUUUUCGUUGCAGUUUUUCUUUGUGGUUCAUCAAUUUGGGAAGCUGUUCUUAAUGAAGCAGUGAUUGUUUUGAACAUUCUUUGUUUGCCUGGAUCACUUCUCUUGCUUUUUAGUGCAUUUGAGGGAAGCAAUGUUGCUAAAGAUGAUGCACAAGAUGAUGCUUUGGACACACCUUUACUGAGUACAGAAUCGGAUAUUGCUGGUAAUAUCACAUCAAAUGAAAACGUUACUCCGUUUGCUAAAGCUGGUUUGUUUAGUGUAAUGUCAUUUUGGUGGUUGAAUCCAUUAAUGAAAAAAGGAAGGGGAAAGAUUCUUGAGAAUGAAGAUAUCCCACAUCUGCGACAAGCUGAUCAAGCACGAACAUUGUAUUUGAUGUUUAGGGAGCAAAUGCACAAAAGGAAGGAAAGCGGUUCAUGUGAUGAUGACCCUUCUAUUUUGUCCACAAUUUUUUUCUGCCAGAGGAAACCUAUAAUAAUUUCUGGUAUAUUUGCGCUCAUCAAGGUUCUCACACUUACCAGCGGUCCUCUAUUUCUGAUGGCCUUCAUUAGUGUCGUUGAAGGAGAAACAGCUUUUGAAGGUGAAGGUUAUGCACUGACAGCUGGUCUGUUUGUGGUUAAAGUUCUGGAGUCAUUGUCGGAGAGGCAAUGGUUCUUCAGAACUAGACUUAUUGGUCUCCAGGUAAGAUCAUUGAUAUCAGCAGCAAUAUAUCAGAAGCAACUAAGACUCUCAACUGCUGCCAAGAUGAGUCAUUCUCCUGGUGAGAUAGUGAAUUAUGUGAGCGUGGAUGCUUACAAAGUCGGUGACUUUCCAUAUUGGUUUCAUCAGAUAUGGUCUACAAGCCUUCAGCUGUGUCUGUCUUUGAUUAUUGUUUACUUCUCUGUUGGAAUAGCAACUCUUGCAGCUCUAAUUACACUCAUAUUGAUUGCGCUGGCAAGCUCUCCAUUGGUCCAGAUGCAGCAUCUGCAUCAAACAAGGUUCAUGGCAGCUCAAAAUAAGAGGCUGAAGGCCAUAGCCGAAGCACUUUCAAAUAUGAAGAUCUUGAAGCUGUAUUCUUGGGAGACAAAUUUCAAGAAAGUCAUAGAAGGUUUAAGAGCAGAAGAAUUCAAAUGGAUAAAUAAAGUUCUGUUACGAAGGGGGUAUUUUAUCACUUUGUUCUGGUCAUCUCCUAUUUUGGUAUCAGCCGUUACCUUUUGGACAUGCUACUUCCUGGGAUUUACACUCACUGCUAGUAAUGUUUUCACAUUUCUAGCAACUUUGCGUAUAGUUCAGGAGCCAAUUAGGCUCCUCCCUGAUAUUUUUGGAUCAUUUAUUGAAGCGAGGGUUUCAUUCUCGCGCAUUGUUAAGUUCCUUGAUGCACAAGAAUUGGAAAACAAGGAUACAAGGAAAGAGAGUACUGGAAUAGAGGCUGAGCAUUCCAUUUUCAUUAGAGCCUCUGAAAUUUCAUGGGACACUGGUGCAACUAAGGCCACAUUAAGGAACCUGAAUUUGGUGGUUGAACCUGGAGAAAAAGUAGCUCUUUGUGGAGAGGUUGGCUCCGGUAAAUCAACCCUUUUAGCUGCAAUUCUAGGAGAAGUUCCGCUGAUCAAUGGCAUUGUUCAAGUGCAUGGGAAAAUAGCAUAUGUUUCUCAAUCAGCAUGGAUUCAAACAGGAAGUAUACAAGAAAAUAUUCUGUUUGGAUCCACCAUGGAUCGUGUCAGGUACCAAGAGACGCUUAAUAAGUGUUCGUUAGUGAAGGAUCUAGAGGUCCUUCCAUUUGGAGAUCUCACUCAAAUAGGAGAAAGAGGUGUAAAUCUAAGUGGUGGACAAAAGCAGCGCAUUCAACUUGCGCGUGCCCUCUAUCAAAAUGCUGAUAUCUAUCUCUUGGAUGACCCUUUCAGUGCAGUUGAUGCUCAUACUGCAAGCAGCCUAUUCAAUGAUUAUGUCAUGGGAGCUCUGGCAAAGAAGACAGUGUUGCUUGUAACACAUCAGGUCGACUUCCUUCCAGGAUUUAGUUCUAUUUUGUUGAUGUCUUCAGGGAAAAUUAUAAGAGCAGCGCCUUAUGAAGAGUUACUAGCCUCUUGUCAAGAGUUCCAAGACCUUGUCAAUGCACAUAAUGACACUGCUGGUUCUGAGUGGCAAGUUGAAUAUGCUGCUACUAGCAAACAUAAAUUGCUUACUGAGGAGAUUGAAAAGGUUGACACUCAGGCACAGUUGGAGGAAUCUUCAGGAGAUCAAUUGAUUAAACAAGAAGAGAAAGAAAUAGGAGACAUUGGUUUCAAGCCAUACAUUCAGUAUUUGAAGCAUAGCAAGGGAUUCUUUGACUUCUCCUCAUCAAUCGUUUUCCACGUGAUAUUCAUACUGGGGCAGUUAAUACAGGCUUAUUGGUUGGCUUCGAAUCUUCAGAAUUAUAAGGUGUCAAGAGUUGAACUCUACGGAGUUUAUUCGGGGAUCAUGUGUUUCAUGUCAUUCUGUCUGCUUCUUCGCUGUUUUAAGGUAGUCCAUUUAGGAUGUGGAGCAUCAAGAUCCAUUUUCUGUACACUAUUGAACUCCCUUUUUCGAGCACCAAUGCUGUUUUAUGAUUCAACACCUUUGGGGAGGAUACUCAGUCGAGUAUCACUAGAUAUGAAUAUCAUCGACCUUGAAGUAGCUUUGAAGCUAUCAGUAGCUGUUGGGACAACUAUGAACGCCUAUAGCAUCUUACUAGUAAUGAUUUAUCUUACUUGGCCACUCGUGUUUCUGAUUAUACCGACACUUUAUGCUACCUACCGCUUUCAGAGAUACUACUAUGCGUCUGCAAAGGAGUUGAUGCGAAUGAAUGGCACGACUAAGUCUGCACUUGCAAGCCAUAUUUCUGAAUCUAUUGCUGGAGCAGUGACAAUCAGAGCUUUUGGAGAGGAGGAAAGAUUUUUCUCCAAAAACUUGGAACUCAUUGAUGCAAAUUCUAGUGCUGACUUUAAUAGUUUUUCAACAAAUGAAUGGUUGAUUGGACGUCUAGAACUGCUUUGCGCCAUUGUUCUCUCAGCCUCGACACUUGCCAUUACUUUGACUCAAUUUGGUGCUUCUUCCUCUGGAUUUGUUGGGAUGACACUAUCAUAUGGCCUUUCAUUAAAUGUAUUCCUAGUAAUUUCAGUCCAGUUUCAGUGCAUGCUAGAAAAUUCAAUCAUUUCUGUAGAAAGGGUAGAACAAUACAUGCACAUUCCCAGUGAAGCUCCAGAAGUAAUAGAGGAAAACCGACCUCCACACAAUUGGCCUAUUAUUGGCAAAGUGGAAAUAUAUGACUUAAAGGUAAGAUAUAGGCCAAAUGCUCCUUUGGUUCUCCAUGGGAUAAAUUGCUUCAUUGAGGGAGGCGACAAAAUUGGAAUAGUUGGCCGGACUGGAAGUGGAAAGACAACUCUUAUCAGUGUUUUGUUUCGUUUGGUAGAGCCUGCAGAGGGCAAGAUCAUUGUAGAUGGCUAUGACAUUUGUACAAUUGGCCUUCAUGAUUUGAGAUCACGUCUUGGGAUCAUACCUCAAGAUCCAACAUUAUUCAGUGGAUCUGUCAGAUUCAAUCUUGACCCCUUAUCAGAGCAUACCGAUGAUGAAUUAUGGGAGGUUCUUGAGAAAUGUCAGUUAGGAGUGGCCAUCAGAGAUAAAGAAGAGGGCCUGGAUUCUUUAGUUGUGGAAGAUGGAACAAACUGGAGCAUGGGACAGCGGCAGCUGUUCUGCUUGGGGCGCGCUUUAUUGAAGAGGAGCCGAAUACUAGUGCUGGAUGAAGCUACUGCAUCGAUGGACAACGCAACAGAUUCUAUUCUGCAGAAAACUAUAAGAGCAGAAUUUGCAGACUGCACUGUAAUAACAGUGGCACAUAGGAUACCAACCGUGAUGGACUGCACUAAGGUGCUUGCUCUUAGCGACGGCAAAGUAGUAGAGUAUGAUGAGCCAAUUAAGCUGAUGAACAAUGAGGGAUCACUAUUCGGGAAGCUUGUGAAGGAAUAUUGGUCUCGUUCUGCCAAUGCUAGCCAGUAGCAUGCACUCAGAUAA